AGCGAACGCUGGCGGCAGGCCUAACACAUGCAAGUCGAACGAACUCUUCGGAGUUAGUGGCGGACGGGUGAGUAACACGUGGGAACGUGCCUUUAGGUUCGGAAUAACUCAGGGAAACUUGUGCUAAUACCGAAUGUGCCCUUCGGGGGAAAGAUUUAUCGCCUUUAGAGCGGCCCGCGUCUGAUUAGCUUGUUGGUGGGGUAAUGGCCCACCAAGGCGACGAUCAGUAGCUGGUCUGAGCGGAUGACCAGCCACAUUGGAACUGAGACACGGCCCAGACUCCUACGGGAGGCAGCAGUGGGGAAUCUUGCGCAAUGGGCGAAAGCCUGACGCAGCCAUGCCGCGUGAAUGAUGAAGGUCUUAGGAUUGUAAAAUUCUUUCACCGGGGACGAUAAUGACGGUACCCGGAGAAGAAGCCCCGGCUAACUUCGUGCCAGCCGCCGCAGUAAAAC
rnacentral:rRNA from 1 species